UAACAAGCCGGCGCACUUCAAUCGAUCUGAGGAUCGCCCCAGGUAACCCCGGUCUUCUGGAACGAAGCUUCUUUCGACUCCUUAGUUAGACGAUCAGCAAGGUCAGCGCAGUACCAACAUGCGGUUCUUCUCCGUAGCCGUCCUUCUUGGAUUCCUGGUCGCUUUCCUGGCCUUCUGCUGCACAACAGCGGAGGAAACACACCUGCCGCAUCUGCGAGUCCGUCGCGCCUGCCGACAUGCCGGCAACUGCGACAAGAAAUGCAAGGACAGCGGCCACAAAACAGGGUACUGCGGCGGACACAGACAAGCACACUGCAUUUGCACUGAUUAGGCAGCGGUACUCGCCAAAAAACUCCAAUAAAGCCAUAACCUGUGCUUGCUGUGCGUGGUGCUGCCAAUAAAAAAAGAAAGAAAACAA